CCCACAGUCCCACUGUGCACAAACCUAUAUAUACAUAUAGGUUUGUGCACAUGCAUAUAUAUAUAUAUAUAUAUAUAUAUAUAUAUAUAUAUAUAUAUAUAUAGGUUUAUGCACAGUGGGACUGUACA